rnacentral:rRNA from 1 species
AGGUAAUGGCUCACCAAGGCGUCGACGGGUAGCCGGCCUGAGAGGGUGACCGGCCACACUGGGACUGAGACACGGCCCAGACUCCUACGGGAGGCAGCAGUGGGGAAUAUUGCACAAUGGGCGGAAGCCUGAUGCAGCAACGCCGCGUGAGGGAUGACGGCCUUCGGGUUGUAAACCUCUUUUAGCAGGGAAGAAGCGAGAGUGACGGUACCUGCAGAAAAAGCACCGGCUAACUACGUGCCAGCAGCCGCGGUAAUACGUAGGGUGCAAGCGUUAUCCGGAAUUAUUGGGCGUAAAGAGCUCGUAGGCGGUUUGUCGCGUCUGCUGUGAAAUCCCGAGGCUCAACCUCGGGCCUGCAGUGGGUACGGGCAGACUAGAGUGCGGUAGGGGAGAUUGGAAUUCCUGGUGUAGCGGUGGAAUGCGCAGAUAUCAGGAGGAACACCGAUGGCGAAGGCAGAUCUCUGGGCCGUAACUGACGCUGAGGAGCGAA